UUCUGUUUCUGGCAGGAAUUUGGGCUUGGGCCAGUGUCCAGGGGUGAGGGUAGGCCCACCCGUCAUGGUACUGGGACUGGGCUGCUGGGUGUGGGGCCCAGACCUGCGGGCUCCAGACGGAGCCUUCUGUUUGUGCAGUCCGUGCACACGUGAGCAGCCCUGACUCUUAGAAACGUGGUGAUGGGGAGGAGAUGGUGAAAAGAGUAUUUAUGAUUGGAGCUCAGGGCUGGAGAGGAACUGGGGCAGUGACGAGCCCAGCUAUGUUCACACUCAUAUCUGUCAUAUCGUAAGUGAGCCCGUGAGAGGGAGCAAAGCCUUCUCUCAAAACUGUCCCUUUCUCCAACACUGAGUUUCACCACAGUAGGAGGGCUUUAUAUUUAGGGUUACUGCACUUUAUGUAUUUCCUGGCUCCUUGUAAGUGCAUUGCUCAGAUGUGUUGGUGUGAGCGUGAGAGGAGCAGGCGGGGGGCUGGGUGGACUCUCCUGUGCGUCCCCGAGGCCCUGGGAAGGAAGUCACCCACCCCGUGGUGGAGAGGAUGCCCCGUGCUCAGGUCUGGACAGCCUGGGCCUGUCUUCAGGAGAGUCUGGUGCAGAAAGCAAAUGACGAUGUUUUGUCUAGUCUUUGUCCCCCAGAUGCAGGCUGCAGCCAUUUGGGGCCAGACACGUGGAGAAUGGGGUCUGCUCCCAGCCUCGGUUCACUUCUAAGCUGGACCUGGCUUGGGGACUCUGAGGCUUUUUCCUUCUGUGUGGUUUCAGCCCCCCUCUGGCAGGUGACCAGCGCCACCAGGCCCUGCUGGAAGUUAUCCUCACGCUUCCCUGAGGUUUGUGGACUGACUUCCCUGCUGGAAGUUACCCUCACGCUUCCCUGAGGUUUGUGGACUGACUUCACAGUUUCCAACGGUGGUUCCUCCUUAUCCGGGACGAUGGCAAGAUGAAACAGCGCAGAGAAUCAGCGGUGGCGCUUUGCCCAAUCGCUCUUUCAUCUGCCAUACUUUGUCUCUUCUCACCUAAAAUGAGAACAUCUGAUGCACUUUUCGUGAUAUUUCAGCAUUAAAUACCGUCUUUUA
rnacentral:lncRNA from 1 species